rnacentral:rRNA from 1 species
UACGUAGGGGGCAAGCGUUAUCCGGAUUCACUGGGUGUAAGGGGAGCGUAGACGGCGACGCAAGUCUGGAGUGGAAGCCCGGGGCCCAACCCCGGGACUGCUCUGGAAACUGCGUCGCUGGAGUACGGGAGGGGCAGGCGGAAUUCCUGGUGUAGCGGUGAAAUGCGUAGAUAUCAGGAGGAACACCGGCGGCGAAGGCGGCCUGCUGGACCGUGACUGACGUUGAGGCUCGAGAGCGUGGGGAGCAAACAGG